rnacentral:rRNA from 1 species
AGGGUGAACGCUGGCGGCGUGCCUAACACAUGCCAAGUCGAGCGGUGCAGUUUGAAGCUUCGGUGGAAAGCUGCAUAGCGGCGGACGGGUGAGGAAAACGUAGGAACCGUGCCCCUUGGAGUUGGAUAGCCACGGGAAACUGUGGGUAAACCGACAUAGACUCGAGAGAGUAAAGGCCGAAAGGCGCCAAGGGAGCGGCCUGCGGCCCAUCAGGUAGUUGGUAGUGUAAAGGACUACCAAGCCGACGACGGGUAGCCGGUCUGAGAGGAUGGCCGGCCACAAGGGCACUGAGAGACGGGCCCUACUCCUACGGGAGGCAGCAGUGGGGGAUUUUGGACAAUGGGCGAAAGCCUGAUCCAGCGACGCCGCGUGGAGGACGAAGCCCUUCGGGGUGUAAACUCCUUUUCUCAGGGAAAAAGGAUGAUGGUACCUGAGGAAUAAGCCCCGGCUAACUACGUG